CAAUCAAAUAGACAAACUUAAGGAAAUUUAAGGACGCCAAGCUACAGGGCUUAACUCAAGAUGAUGAUGCUAGCUAGUUGCCAUA
rnacentral:ncRNA from 1 species